ACGUAGGUGGCAAGCGUUGUUCGGAAUUAUUGGGCGUAAAGGGCGCGUAGGCGGUUUGUUAAGUCAGCUGUGAAAGCCCGGGGCUCAACCCCGGAGGGUCGACCGAUACUGGCAGGCUAGAGUACAGAAGAGGUAACUGGAAUUCCCGGUGUAGCGGUGAAAUGCGUAGAUAUACGGAGGAACACCAGGGGCGAAGGCGGAUCGCUGGGCCAACACUGACGCUGAUGCGCGAAAGCUAGGGGAGCAAACGGGA
rnacentral:rRNA from 1 species